rnacentral:lncRNA from 1 species
AGAACACGUGGUGCUAACGACAAUGGAAUCCAACGACUUUAAUCCGUCCAAACAGUGGGAAAGAAUAACCGCGGUUAUGAUGAUUCGCGCCGUUUUUAAGGACUGUGACAUCACAAAAGUUCUUUAAUAAUGAUUUAAAAGGCUGAUAAAGCAAAGAUGGACGCUUGGUAGACCUAUUUUAUGGCAGUGGCAUAGGAGGGGUGGCUGAAUGGGUAUUUUUUGAAGGCUCUUAUCGAACAUGAAAGUUACUAGUACUCUACCUUAGCUCGAACUCGUCGUUGGACUUAACCAAGGGCAAGACCCCCUCCUUGGCCCCGAUUUUCAGGCCUUUCGGAAACCAAUACGGGGACAGUAUUAAAUUGGCUAUACUUUGUCUUUCGGCCUCCAUCUCGACGAUGAAUGAACUGAUUUUAGUGAGUUGUAGUGCUCCAAUGAGGCCUCCCUGACACUGUCAAAGUGGAAAUCGUGAUUUACUGUGGUAUAGUAUAUGGUUUAUGUAUAAUUUGAACGUGGAACAGAACAAGGAGCAAAACAGAACUAAAUAUAUAUUUAUCUAAGGAAUAACUAUAUAGUCGUAUUAAUGGGAUAUUGCAAACGUGUGCAUAUAGCGUCGAACGUGUAUACAAGGUACAAUGUAUAUUGAGGAGAGAACGUCUAAGUAUUGAGUGAGUAGCCAUGUAUAAGAGUGAUUAUGAAGAAUGGAUUUGUUGGUGAGUUACCUUCUAUAUUAUAAAAAAAAAAAUUAUAUGUUCGUCGAUGCCCAAUAACUACGGGAAAUGGUGAGUACUACCUCUAGUAAAUAUAUAAAGGAAUCUAGUAGUGUUUAUAAAAAUGAAUCGAACCAAAGAAGGAAAUUGUGUUUGAUUUUAUUUAAAAUGAGUAAUAUUUAUAUAAGAAUAUAUAAAAAACAUCAAUAUUGAAUAUAUAUUGACAAUCGUUUAAACAUUUUAAAUGGCAUUUAUUAACUUUAUAUAAAAUAUGGCUGUAUAAAAAGUUAAAUAACAAAACAACAGAUUAAUCUCCACAAAAUAAAAUUUGUAAACCGGCAACAUGAUAAUAAUUUUACAAAGAUUAAUCCAAACCUACGAUUCAACUGUCUAUUUAAGGAAGUAUUUGAAUCUCUAGAACUUCAAAGUGAGCUAAAUAAUUAAGUAUAAUUAAAUGCCACACAUAAAGAAGAAACUUUAUCUAAUUUUUUAAUAACUUAAUAGGCCAGUGAAGAGAAUCUUUGUCACUCAUUGGUGGCAUUUUAUAGUUGAGUAUAACUGAGUUUAGAAAUAUAUAAAUAAAUUGAAAGCCAAUAAUAGCUCAUAUCAUUUUACAAUUAAUAAAGAUUUCACAAGAGAUCAUUUCGUCGCAAAAAUAUUGAAAGGUACAUUAAUCAGAGUCAGGUUCGUUCGCCAUUUCUUCUUGUGUUUUAAUGAUUUUCAUUUUGUGUGCAAUAUUCAAGGAUUCAUCAGCGAUUUCUUUGAUUUGUUGUAAAAUUGGAUCUGGUUGAUAAGAGCCCGAAUCCACUAAGAAAAAAAAUAAUUCAAUUGUAUUAGAAACAAUAGAAUGCAUAAUUUAAAAAGACUCACAAUUAGCUUUAAAGACGAGGGCUUGCAAAACAUCCAUAAUCUGUGAGUUCAUCACUUUUUCAGCAUCCUCCUUGUUCUCUGCAGUAACAAUAUUUCUAACAACAACAGCUCCUCUCAAAACUAUUUGAAAAUCAGCGUUGGCUAAUAAAUUCAGAAGGCAGUCUAACCAU